rnacentral:lncRNA from 1 species
GAAGGAGGGGGUUUGAACGCUUUGGACCAGACAACAUGGGCAGGAAGCGGAAGCCGUUUCCAUUGUAUGAAGAACCUGAUGCCAAGCUGGCCCGUGCUGACAGUGAAGGAGACCUCUCUGAAAACGGUAUGCUCUGGGGAUCAGAGUCAGUUGCCCGCUCUGGAAUGAGGUGGCGUUGUUGGCUCACACUGCCUUAGCUGAGCCCUGUUGCUAGUCUAGUCCCUGAGCUUGGGAAUGUGAAAGCGCUCUG